UCUCCGUAGGUGAACCUGCGGAGGGAUCAUUACAGAGUUCUUGCCCAGCAGGGUAGAUCUCCCACCCUAUGUUAAUAUACGUUUGUUGCUUUGGCAAGCCUGAUAGGCCUCGGUCUAACCACCGGCUUUUGCUGGUGAGCGCUUGCCAGAGAACCCCAAAACUCUGAAUGUUAGUAUUGUCUAAGCACUAUAUAAAUAGUUAAAACUUUCAACAACGGAUCUCUUGGUUCUG
rnacentral:misc_RNA from 1 species